rnacentral:rRNA from 1 species
AUUGAACGCUGGCGGCAUGCCUUACACAUGCAAGUCGAACGGUAACAGGUCUUCGGAUGCUGACGAGUGGCGAACGGGUGAGUAAUACAUCGGAACGUGCCCGAGAGUGGGGGAUAACGAGGCGAAAGCUUUGCUAAUACCGCAUACGAUCUCAGGAUGAAAGCAGGGGACCGCAAGGCCUUGCGCUCACGGAGCGGCCGAUGGCAGAUUAGGUAGUUGGUGGGAUAAAAGCUUACCAAGCCGACGAUCUGUAGCUGGUCUGAGAGGACGACCAGCGCGAAUGGGACUGAGACACGGCCCAGACUCCUACGGGAGGCAGUAGUGGGGAAUUUUGUACAAUGGGCGCAAGCCUGAUCCAGCCAUGCCGCGUGCAGGAUGAAGGUCUUCGGGUUGUAAACUGCUUUUGUACGGAACGAAAGGACUCUGGUUAAUACCUGGGGUCCAUGACGGUACCGUAAGAAUAAGCACCGGCUAACUCUGUGCCAGCCGCCGCCGUAACAC